AUUGUACUCCCUCCGUCCGGAAAUACUUGUCAUCAAAAUGAAUAAAAGGGGAUGUAUCUAGAUGUAUAUUAGUUCUAGAUACAUCUUUUUUUAUCCAUUUUGAUGGCAAAUAUUUUUGGACGGAGGGAGUAUCUU
rnacentral:pre_miRNA from 1 species